AAUCAACGCUGGCGGCGUGCCUAACACAUGCAAGUCGAACGCGAAAGCCCUUUCGGGGGGUAAGUAGAGUGGCGUCCGGGUGAGUAACACGUAGGUAAUCUGCCUUCGGGUGGGGAAUAACCAGUCGAAAGAUUGGCUAAUACCGCAUAAUGCAGCGGCACCUAAUGGUGAUUAGUUGUUAAAGCGGGGGAUCGUAAGACCUCGCGCCUGAAGAGAGCCUGCGGCUGAUUAGCUAGGNGGUGAGGUAAUGGCUCACCAAGGCUUCGAUCUGUAGCUGGUCUGAGAGGACGG
rnacentral:rRNA from 1 species